rfam:Luffa aphid-borne yellows virus isolate TH24, complete genome
UACAUACAGCCGGGCAUACCGUAGUUGCAAGCGCCGGAAAGUAUCUGAGUCUACGUACCG